rnacentral:rRNA from 1 species
GACACGACUCUCGGCAACGGAUAUCUCGGCUCUCGCAUCGAUGAAGAACGUAGCGAAUGCGAUACCUGGUGUGAAUUGCAGAAUCCCGCGAACCAUCGAGUCUUUGAACGCAAGUUGCGCCCGAGGCCACCCGGUCGAGGGCACGCCUGCCUGGGCGUCACG